AGACCUCCUCAUCCCCCUGUUUCUUUCAGUUUCUGCCCAGUGUGUUCUGCCAUUAAACAGCUUUCCUUAGGCUGCAAGGAAGUGAAAUGUCAUGAGUUUCUGGGUGCCAGGCACUGAACUCCUGGACCCUGAACAUCUGCGGAGUUGAUCUAAGCCUUGUUUAAAUUUACCCAGUGCUUUUUUCUGGGGGGGGGAUGCAGGGGUACAUAUACCCCUAAACAUUUUGGGAAUCUAACAGGAGAAGAAACAAAGAUUUUAGAAUUUCUUAGUUUCUUCUCUAGUACGGUGAAUCGUCAGUUCCAAUGCUAUCCCCAAUUGCAGCCUCAUUUCCAUUCCCGGUGUUUCCUGAGUCUCAGACGUAAGCGAGCGUUUAAUGUGUGGAAUGGGGAUGUGUGGUGUUUUAGCGAUGAAAGUUUGGCCUCAUUGAGGGGCCGUAUUUUAAUAUGAGUAGGAAAAUUACAAACUAUUUUUCAUCAACACAGCCAGAAAAGAAGUGUAAAGUUAAUGAGGACUCUGUAAAAACAGAAGAUGGGACAACGGUGUUGUGUAAUAUGAGGUAAUGCAUGUUCUUUGUACUUUUGUCUAUUUACUGUUUUUAUUUUCCUCGAUUUGAACUGCAAAAUGGUGAUUUCCUCGAGUCAAAAUGAGAGUACCCCUAAACAUUUUUAAAGAAAAAAAGCACUGAAUGUACCCCAAGCUCUUCGUUUGAUUGUUGGUUAUUAAAAACUGAUUGAAACCAUUUUAUUUCAUUCACAAAAGAAAAUCUGACAUGAUUAUGAUAAAGGUUUAUAUAAUAAAGGUGACACGUUUAUUGA